rnacentral:rRNA from 1 species
UACGUAGGGUGCGAGCGUUAAUCGGAAUUACUGGGCGUAAAGCGUGCGCAGGCGGUUCGUUAUGUCCGAUGUGAAAGCCCCGAGCUCAACUUGGGAAUGGCAUUGGAAACUGGCGGGCUGGAGUGUGGCAGAGGGGGGUGGAAUUCCACGUGUAGCAGUGAAAUGCGUAGAUAUCGAGAGGAACACCAGAGGCGAAGGCGGCCUACUGGGCUGCACCUGACGCUGAGCCGCGAAAGCCAGGGGAGCGAACGGG